rnacentral:rRNA from 1 species
GAUGAACGCUGGCGGCGUGCCUAAUACAUGCAAGUCGAGCGAACAGACGAGGAGCUUGCUCCUCUGACGUUAGCGGCGGACGGGUGAGUAACACGUGGAUAACCUACCUAUAAGACUGGGAUAACUUCGGGAAACCGGAGCUAAUACCGGAUAAUAUAUUGAACCGCAUGGUUCAAUAGUGAAAGACGGUUUUGCUGUCACUUAUAGAUGGAUCCGCGCCGCAUUAGCUAGUUGGUAAGGUAACGGCUUACCAAGGCAAGGAUGCGUAACCGACCUGAGAGGGUGAUCCGCCACACUGGAACUGAGACACGGUCCAGACUCCUACGGGAGGAAGCAGUAGGGAAUCCUCCGCAAUGGGCGAAAGCUUGACGGAGCAACGCCGCGUGAGUGAUGAAGGUCUUCGGAUCGUAAAACUCUGUUAUUAGGGAAGAACAAAUGUGUAAGUAACUAUGCACGUAUUGACGGUACCUACUCAGAAAGCCACGGCUAACUACGUG